rnacentral:rRNA from 1 species
UACGAAGGGUGCAAGCGUUACUCGGAAUUACUGGGCGUAAAGCGUGCGUAGGUGGUUCGUUAAGUCUGAUGUGAAAGCCCUGGGCUCAACCUGGGAAUGGCAUUGGAAACUGGCGACCUAGAGUGCGGUAGAGGGUAGUGGAAUUCCCGGUGUAGCAGUGAAAUGCGUAGAGAUCGGGAGGAACAUCCGUGGCGAAGGCAGCCCCCUGGGCUGAGAUUGACGCUCAGGCACGAAAGCGUGGGGAGCAAACAGG